rnacentral:rRNA from 1 species
AACGAACGCUGGCGGCGUGGAUAAGACAUGCAAGUCGAACGGAAUUUAAUUUGUAGCAAUACCGAUUAAAUUUAGUGGCGAACGGGUGCGUAACACGUGAGCAAUCUGCCGGGAAGUGGGGGAUAACUCGUCGAAAGGCGAAUUAAUACCGCAUAUGGCCAGGGAGGACAUCCUUCCGAAGCCAAAGUAGCAAUACGCUUCCUGAUGAGCUCGCGGCCUAUCAGCUAGUUGGUGAGGUAAUGGCUCACCAAGGCUAUGACGGGUAGCUGGUCUGAGAGGACGACCAGCCACACUGGAACUGAGACACGGUCCAGACACCUACGGGAGGCAG